rnacentral:lncRNA from 1 species
GUCCGUGUGGCUCUAGGGCAGCCCCAAUGCUUGGUAUAAGAACUUAACAGGUGCUCACCGAAUCUUCCUGGAAUGAACGAGUGCAGGACCUGCGCUGAACACUUUCCAUACCUUUCCUCAUGCCUGACAGAAGUUCAUGAGAUGGAUGCUACUAUUCCAUGGUGUAGUCCAGGAAGACAAGGCUUCAGAGGCUGAAAAUUUGCCCGAGGUCACACAGCUGGCAAACUGUAGAAAAUGGAUUCCAACAGCAGUCUGUGCACCUCAAAGGGAUCUCUUUUCACCAUCUCUACCCUCCUUCCCAAGUCAUUUUCUCUCUCUGACCUUGUUUUCUCAUCUGUACAAUGGGAACAAAAAUCGUGCCCAACACAGAGCCUGGCACUAAAGGUUCUCAGUAAAUAUUUGUGCAUCCUCUCCCAAUCUCUGAGGCUUAUUUAGGACGCAUUUUCCUGGGCCAAAACUUCGUGCAUGCACAUGUUCACAGAAACAGGUGCAGAGCUCGACGAAGCACAUCUUCAGCACGGGGGACUCAGUAGGCGCUUAACCAAUAUGUGCCGGGCAGAGGAGCAUUAGUUUAGCAAAGGCUGACGAGUACCCAGACAAAAAGCCACAAUAGUGACUCAGGCACAUGAACCCUCCCCCUGCCCCAAGUUCCCUGUCAAUUAUCCUCCGCCACCACUCCCCUUCCUCUAGCCCAAGGCGCGGGAAAUAUUUAAAACAAUUUUAUUCAUGAAAAUAUGCUGUACAAUGCACUCUACACAGCCUCGACACGGCACACACGCACACGCACACUCUGACGGCACGGCCACGGUACACUGCCUACGAUACGCGCCGGGGACGCCGCGCCUCCGCAAAUGAAACUGAAGAUUUGUA